rnacentral:rRNA from 1 species
UUAAGCGACUAAGCGUACACGGUGGAUGCCCUGGCAGUCAGAGGCGAUGAAGGACGUGCUAAUCUGCGAAAAGCGUCGGUAAGGUGAUAUGAACCGUUACAGCCGGCGAUGUCCGAAUGGGGAAACCCAGUGCAAUUCGUUGCACUAUCGUUAACUGAAUACAUAGGUUAACGAAGCGAACCGGGGGAACUGAAACAUCUAAGUACCCCGAGGAAAAGAAAUCAACCGAGAUUCCCCCAGUAGCGGCGAGCGAACGGGGAGCAGCCCAGAGUCUGAAUCAGCUUGUGUGUUAGUGGAACGGUCUGGAAAGUCCGACGGUACAGGGUGAUAGUCCCGUACACCAAAAUGCACAGGCUGUGAACUCGAAGAGUAGGGCGGGACACGUGGUAUCCUGUCUGAAUAUGGGGGGACCAUCCUCCAAGGCUAAAUACUCCUGACUGACCGAUAGUGAACCAGUACCGUGAGGGAAAGGCGAAAAGAACCCCGGCGAGGGGAGUGAAAAAGAACCUGAAACCGUGUACGUACAAGCAGUGGGAGCACCUUCGGGUGUGACUGCGUACCUUUUGUAUAAUGGGUCAGCGACUUAUAUUCUGUAGCAAGGUUAACCGUAUAGGGGAGCCGCAGGGAAACCGAGUCUUAACUGGGCGUUAAGUUGCAGGGUAUAGACCCGAAACCCGGUGAUCUAGCCAUGGGCAGGUUGAAGGUUGGGUAACACUAACUGGAGGACCGAACCGACUAAUGUUGAAAAAUUAGCGGAUGACUUGUGGCUGGGGGUGAAAGGCCAAUCAAACCGGGAGAUAGCUGGUUCUCCCCGAAAGCUAUUUAGGUAGCGCCUCGUGAAUUCAUCUUCGGGGGUAGAGCACUGUUUCGGCUAGGGGGUCAUCCCGACUUACCAACCCGAUGCAAACUACGAAUACCGAAGAAUGUUAUCACGGGAGACACACGGCGGGUGCUAACGUCCGUCGUGAAGAGGGAAACAACCCAGACCGCCAGCUAAGGUCCCAAAGUCAUGGUUAAGUGGGAAACGAUGUGGGAAGGCACAGACAGCCAGGAUGUUGGCUUAGAAGCAGCCAUCAUUUAAAGAAAGCGUAAUAGCUCACUGGUCGAGUCGGCCUGCGCGGAAGAUGUAACGGGGCUAAACCAUGCACCGAAGCUGCGGCAGCGACACUAUGUGUUGUUGGGUAGGGGAGCGUUCUGUAAGCCUGCGAAGGUGACCUGUGAGGGUUGCUGGAGGUAUCAGAAGUGCGAAUGCUGACAUAAGUAACGAUAAAGCGGGUGAAAAGCCCGCUCGCCGGAAGACCAAGGGUUCCUGUCCAACGUUAAUCGGGGCAGGGUGAGUCGACCCCUAAGGCGAGGCCGAAAGGCGUAGUCGAUGGGAAACAGGUUAAUAUUCCUGUACUUGGUGUUACUGCGAAGGGGGGACGGAGAAGGCUAUGUUAGCCGGGCGACGGUUGUCCCGGUUUAAGCAUGUAGGCUGGUUGUCCAGGCAAAUCCGGAUAAUCAAGGCUGAGGUGUGAUGACGAGGCACUACGGUGCUGAAGUAACAAAUGCCCUGCUUCCAGGAAAAGCCUCUAAGCAUCAGGUAACAUCAAAUCGUACCCCAAACCGACACAGGUGGUCAGGUAGAGAAUACCAAGGCGCUUGAGAGAACUCGGGUGAAGGAACUAGGCAAAAUGGUGCCGUAACUUCGGGAGAAGGCACGCUGGUGUGUAGGUGAAGUCCCUGCGGAUGGAGCUGAGACCAGUCGAAGAUACCAGCUGGCUGCAACUGUUUAUUAAAAACACAGCACUGUGCAAACACGAAAGUGGACGUAUACGGUGUGACGCCUGCCCGGUGCCGGAAGGUUAAUUGAUGGGGUUAUCCGUAAGGAGAAGCUCUUGAUCGAAGCCCCGGUAAACGGCGGCCGUAACUAUAACGGUCCUAAGGUAGCGAAAUUCCUUGUCGGGUAAGUUCCGACCUGCACGAAUGGCGUAAUGAUGGCCAGGCUGUCUCCACCCGAGACUCAGUGAAAUUGAACUCGCUGUGAAGAUGCAGUGUACCCGCGGCAAGACGGAAAGACCCCGUGAACCUUUACUAUAGCUUGACACUGAACAUUGAGCCUUGAUGUGUAGGAUAGGUGGGAGGCUUUGAAGCGUGGACGCCAGUCUGCGUGGAGCCAACCUUGAAAUACCACCCUUUAAUGUUUGAUGUUCUAACGUUGGCCCCUGACCGGGGUUGCGGACAGUGUCUGGUGGGUAGUUUGACUGGGGCGGUCUCCUCCCAAAGCGUAACGGAGGAGCACGAAGGUUAGCUAAUCCUGGUCGGACAUCAGGAGGUUAGUGCAAUGGCAUAAGCUAGCUUGACUGCGAGCGUGACGGCGCGAGCAGGUGCGAAAGCAGGUCAUAGUGAUCCGGUGGUUCUGAAUGGAAGGGCCAUCGCUCAACGGAUAAAAGGUACUCCGGGGAUAACAGGCUGAUACCGCCCAAGAGUUCAUAUCGACGGCGGUGUUUGGCACCUCGAUGUCGGCUCAUCACAUCCUGGGGCUGAAGUAGGUCCCAAGGGUAUGGCUGUUCGCCAUUUAAAGUGGUACGCGAGCUGGGUUUAGAACGUCGUGAGACAGUUCGGUCCCUAUCUGCCGUGGGCGCUGGAGAAUUGAGGGGGGCUGCUCCUAGUACGAGAGGACCGGAGUGGACGCAUCACUGGUGUUCGGGUUGUCAUGCCAAUGGCACUGCCCGGUAGCUAAAUGCGGAAGAGAUAAGUGCUGAAAGCAUCUAAGCACGAAACUUGCCCCGAGAUGAGUUCUCCCUGAGACUUUAAGUCUCCUGAAGGAACGUUAAAGACGAUGACGUUGAUAGGCCGGGUGUGUAAGCGCAGCGAUGCGUUGAGCUAACCGGUACUAAUGAACCGUGAGGCUUAACCUU